UACAGAGGGGGCAAGCGUUGUUCGGAAUUACUGGGCGUAAAGAGCGCGUAGGCGGCCUGCUAAGUCGGACGUGAAAUCCCCGAGCUCAACUCGGGAACUGCGUCCGAUACUGACAGGCUUGAGUCCGGGAGAGGGAUGCGGAAUUCCAGGUGUAGCGGUGAAAUGCGUAGAUAUCUGGAGGAACACCGGUGGCGAAGGCGGCAUCCUGGACCGGCAUUGACGCUGAGGCGCGAAAGCUAGGGGAGCAAACGGG
rnacentral:rRNA from 1 species